rnacentral:misc_RNA from 1 species
AGCAGCCGCGGUAAUUCCAGCUCCAAUAGCGUAUAUUAAAGUUGUUGCAGUUAAAAGCUCGUAGUUGAAUUUCGGGAUCAAAGGAUCGGUCAUGCCUUGGUAUGUACUGGUUUUAUUGGUUCUCACCUUCUAAAGAACCAUAAUGUCAUUCAUUUGAUGUUAUGGGGAAUUAGGACUGUUACCUUGAAAAAUUAGAGUGUUUAAAGCAGGCUUACGCUUGAAUACAUUAGCAUGGAAUAAUGAAAUAGGACAUCAGAUUCUAUUUUGUUGGUUUCUAGGAUCGAUGUAAUGAUUAAUAGGGGUAGUUGGGGGCAUUAGUAUUCAAUUGUCAGAGGUGAAAUUCUUGGAUUUAUUGAAGACUAACUACUGCGAAAGCAUUUGCCAAGGAUGUUUUCAUUAAUCAAGAACGAAAGUUAGGGAUCGAAGACGAUCAGAUACCGUCGUAGUCUUAACCAUAAACUAUGCCGACGUAGGGAUCGGAUGAUGUUAAUUUUAUAAUGACUCAUUCGG